GAAAUGCGAUAAGUAAUGUGAAUUGCAGAAUUCAGUGAAUCAUCGAAUCUUUGAACGCACCUUGCGCUCCUUGGUAUUCCUUGGAGCAUGCCUGUUUGAGUAUCAUGAAAUCUUCAAAGUAAAUCUUUUGUUAACUCAAUUGGUUUCUACUUUGGUAUUGGAGGUCUUUGCAGCUUCACACCUGCUCCUCUUUGUUCAUUAGCUGGAUCUCAGUGUUAUGCUUGGUUCCACUCGGCGUGAUAAGUUAUCUAUCGCUGAGGACACUGUAAAAGGUGGCCAAGGUAAAUGCAGAUGAACCGCUUCUAAUAGUCCAUUGACUUGGACAAUACUUUUAUGAUCUGAUCUCAAAUCAGGUAGUACUACCCGCUAAACUUAAGC
rnacentral:misc_RNA from 1 species